CCUACGGGCGGCAGCAGUCGAGAAUCAUUCACAAUGGGGGAAACCCUGAUGGUGCGACGCCGCGUGGGGGAAUGAAGGUCUUCGGAUUGUAAACCUCUGUCAUGUGGGAGCAAAUAAACAAGAUAGUACCACAAGAGGAAGAGACGGCUAACUCUGUGCCAGAAGCCGCGGUAAUACAGAGGUCUCAAGCGUUGUUCGGAAUCACUGGGCGUAAAGCGUGCGUUGGCUGUUUCGUAAGUCGUGUGUGAAAGGCGCGGGCUCAACCCGCGGACGGCCCAUGAUACUGCGAGACUAGAGUAAGGGAGGGGGAACCGGAAUUCUCGGUGUAGCAGUGAAAUGCGUAGAUAUCGAGAAGAACACUCAUGGCGAAGGCGGGUUCCUGGACAUUGACUGACGCUGAGGCACGAAGGCCAGGGGAGCGAAAGGGAUUAGAUACCCUAGUAGUC
rnacentral:rRNA from 1 species